GACGAACGCUGGCGGCGUGCCUAAUACAUGCAAGUCGAGCGCAGGAAGCUCACGGAACUCUUCGGAGGGAAGUGAAGGGAAUGAGCGGCGGACGGGUGAGUAACACGUAAGGAACCUGCCCCAAGGAUUGGGAUAACUCCGAGAAAUCGGAGCUAAUACCGAAUAGUUCUUCAGACCGCAUGGUCUGAUGAUGAAAGGCGCUCCGGCGUCACCUUGGGAUGGCCUUGCGGUGCAUUAGCUAGUUGGUGGGGUAAUGGCCCACCAAGGCGACGAGGCAUAGCCGACCUGAGAGGGGGAUCGGCCACACUGGGACUGAGACACGGCCCAGACUCCUACGGGAGGCAGCAGUAGGGAAUCUUCCACAAUGGACGAAAGUCUGAUGGAGCAACGCCGCGUGAGUGAUGAAGGUUUUCGGAUCGUAAAACUCUGUUGUAAGGGAAGAACAGGUAUGAGAGGUAAUGCUCAUGCUAUGACGGUACCUUACGAGAAAGCCACGGCUAACUACGUGCCAGCCGCCGCGGUAAUAC
rnacentral:rRNA from 1 species